rnacentral:rRNA from 1 species
AGAGUUUGAUCAUGGCUCAGAUUGAACGCUGGCGGCAGGCCUAACACAUGCAAGUCGAGCGGUAGCACAGAGAGCUUGCUCUCGGGUGACGAGCGGCGGACGGGUGAGUAAUGUCUGGGAAACUGCCUGAUGGAGGGGGAUAACUACUGGAAACGGUAGCUAAUACCGCAUAACGUCGCAAGACCAAAGUGGGGGACCUUCGGGCCUCAUGCCAUCAGAUGUGCCCAGAUGGGAUUAGCUAGUAGGUGGGGUAACGGCUCACCUAGGCGACGAUCCCUAGCUGGUCUGAGAGGAUGACCAGCCACACUGGAACUGAGACACGGUCCAGACUCCUACGGGAGGCAGCAGUGGGGAAUAUUGCACAAUGGGCGCAAGCCUGAUGCAGCCAUGCCGCGUGUGUGAAGAAGGCCUUCGGGUUGUAAAGCACUUUCAGCGGGGAGGAAGGCGGUGAGGUUAAUAACCUCACCGAUUGACGUUACCCGCAGAAGAAGCACCGGCUAACUCCGUGCCAGCAGCCGCGGUAAUACGGAGGGUGCAAGCGUUAAUCGGAAUUACUGGGCGUAAAGCGCACGCAGGCGGUCUGUCAAGUCGGAUGUGAAAUCCCCGGGCUCAACCUGGGAACUGCAUUCGAAACUGGCAGGCUAGAGUCUUGUAGAGGGGGGUAGAAUUCCAGGUGUAGCGGUGAAAUGCGUAGAGAUCUGGAGGAAUACCGGUGGCGAAGGCGGCCCCCUGGACAAAGACUGACGCUCAGGUGCGAAAGCGUGGGGAGCAAACAGGAUUAGAUACCCUGGUAGUCCACGCUGUAAACGAUGUCGAUUUGGAGGUUGUGCCCUUGAGGCGUGGCUUCCGGAGCUAACGCGUUAAAUCGACCGCCUGGGGAGUACGGCCGCAAGGUUAAAACUCAAAUGAAUUGACGGGGGGCCCGCACAAGCGGUGGAGCAUGUGGUUUAAUUCGAUGCAACGCGAAGAACCUCACCUGGUCUUGACAUCCACAGAACUUAGCAGAGAUGCUUUGGUGCCUUCGGGAACUGUGAGACAGGUGCUGCAUGGCUGUCGUCAGCUCGUGUUGUGAAAUGUUGGGUUAAGUCCCGCAACGAGCGCAACCCUUAUCCUUUGUUGCCAGCGGUUAGGCCGGGAACUCAAAGGAGACUGCCAGUGAUAAACUGGAGGAAGGUGGGGAUGACGUCAAGUCAUCAUGGCCCUUACGACCAGGGCUACACACGUGCUACAAUGGCAUAUACAAAGAGAAGCGACCUCGCGAGAGCAAGCGGACCUCAUAAAGUAUGUCGUAGUCCGGAUUGGAGUCUGCAACUCGACUCCAUGAAGUCGGAAUCGCUAGUAAUCGUAGAUCAGAAUGCUACGGUGAAUACGUUCCCGGGCCUUGUACACACCGCCCGUCACACCAUGGGAGUGGGUUGCAGAAGAAGUAGGUAGCUUAACCUUCGGGAGGGCGCUUACCACUUUGUGAUUCAUGACUGGGGUGAAGUCGUAACAAGGUAACCGUAGGGGAACCUGCGGUUGGAUCACCU